CCAAGUCCCCAGGCCCCAACCCCGCCGCACAAACCCUAGACUCCCCAAGCUCACAGGCCACAGCUUCCCAUUCCUCUCUCCUCCGUCCUCCCUCAUCAGCCGUCCCCGCCGCUAUUCUACCUCUCUCCUCUCUGUCCUAUGACCACGCCGCUGGGAGGAAGCGGUCGUUCGUGGCUCCAUACCGCUGUCGGGGUGCCGUGCAAGAGGUCAGGGGCCGCCACCACCGUGAGCCAGGACGAAGCGGACGCCCUUUGCGAGCCUCCGGGCAGGAAGCCGACGGCGAGUACGCCAUUAACAAGCCGCCAAGAGGACCCACCGGCCAGUCCCCUGUCGCCGAGCAAGGGCCGCCCGUUGCGUCGUCGUGGGAGGAGGCGCACAGAGGAGCAGCGGAGGAGGAGAUGAGGACACGCCCCCGGACUCCCUAUUUCCUUUUGGUCGCACCUUCCCUGAGGCGUCUCUCUCUCUUGGGCAGCUUCCAUACAAGAUUUGGAUGAGGAAAAGGAGACCCGAUGCGGGGCAACGACGAGCGCCGGUGAGCUAGCUGGACAGGUGCCGGGCCCAUGGGCGCGAUUGGGGAGCUGCGCACACAUCCAUCGACGGCGAGCACAUCGAACGGCCACACAUCAAGAGGGCAAGGGAAGCUUGCGCUACUUUUUGGAAGUUAAAGGUUGGGCUUGCGCAUUGAGUGAUGGCGUUGGGACUGGAGGAGCACAAGGAUCCUCCUCUUCAGGGUUGUUACGGCCAUGCACCAAUAUAUAAAUAAAUCUACUUAAGCUGUCUGAGCCGCAAGAAUGGACAUUUAAAUAACUCCAGAACAUUGGGUACAUGGAGUUCAGAUUUGCAGAAGAGCAACCUCCAGAUGAUUAUGUAGUAGAUCUUGCAGGUUUCCAAGUAUGCCACUCUCUUGGUGGUGGUACUGGAUCAGGCAUGGGUACACUUUUGGUAUCAAAGAUCAGGGAGGAGUACCCUGGCGCAUGAUGCUAACAUUCUCUGUUUUCCCUCACCGGAAGUAUCUGAUAUGUGGUUGAACCUUACAAUGCCACUCUUUCGGUCCAUCAGUUGGUUGAGAAUGCAGAUGAGUGCAUGGUUCUUGAGAAUGAGGCCCUUUAUGACAUCUGUUUCAGGACUCUCAAGCUGACCACUCCGAGUUAGUCUGAGGUUGCUUUGGCCUAAUGAAGGGUAUGCAGAGCAAUGCCUCUGCCUUAGUUCAAGAGAGCAAGGCAGGCAACAAGGGGGAGGGUCUGGCCGAAGUCAAGAAACAAGAGAACUUGACACCGACCUAGAGAAACUCUAUGUAGCAGACCUUCGCCGGAGAGAUGGCGGAACUGCAAUUGUCAAGUGCCUCCGGUGUACACGCUUUGUUGGCUUGUUUAUCCUUCCAUGUGGAAAUUUGGCUUGUCAGAUUUGCAUCGACUGUGGAAACCUCCUGGUGCACUAUCCAGUUGUAGUUCCCUUUCAUGUAAUUGUCUUCCCCCCAAGUAAAUGUAUAACUAUGAUCUCACAUAUUGUCUCUACCCUGUUUAUGAGGAAACAAUUGGACUAAUAGGUAUAAUAAUUUGGUGUUG